GAUGAACGCUAGCUACAGGCUUAACACAUGCAAGUCGAGGGGCAGCACAGUGUAGCAAUACACGGGUGGCGACCGGCGCACGGGUGCGUAACGCGUAUCCAACCUUCCCGUUACUCUUGGAUAGCCUUCCGAAAGGGAGAUUAAUACAAGAUGGUAUUCAAAUUUCGCAUGUUAUUUGAAUUAAAGAUUUAUCGGUAACGGAUGGGGAUGCGUGACAUUAGGUAGAUGGCGGGUAACGGCCCACCAUGCCUACGAUGUCUAGGGGUUCUGAGAGGAAGGUCCCCCCANACUGGAACUGAGACACGGUCCAGACUCCUACGGGAGGCAGCAGUGAGGAAUAUUGGUCAAUGGACGAGAGUCUGAACCAGCCAAGUAGCGUGCAGGAUGACGGCCCCUCUGGGGUUGUAAACUGCUUUUAUACGGGAAUAAAACACCUUACGUGUAGGGUCUUGUAUGUACCGUAUGAAUAAGCAUCGGCUAACUCCGUG
rnacentral:rRNA from 1 species